AUUCUCAAAGCUUCUCAAAGCUUGAGGAGGGAAGACAAUUCAGAGGAGAGUGUGGAGAAAGUUUGCAUUUUGCUACCAGAUCCAUGCUGUUACUGUUCCACUAAAAGAGGCCGGGAGUUUUAAGCACCAGAUGCUUCGAGUUUCCCAAAGCCUCACAAUGUGGACUGUCCAUCAGAACGCUGUGCUGGCAGAAUGGUGUUCAACUGUUGCUUUCUUCUACCGGACUCUAGAUCGACUGCUUUGCCAUACAUCUCUUGGGAACCUGCAUGACCCUCCACUUCCUCCUGCAGCCUCAGCUGGAUACAUGGUGUCUGUGAUAGAAGCAGA